AGCGCCAACACGCCCUCAGGUAAAGGUGGAAGUAAAUGGCCACGCUGUAUUGACAGAGGUAGGGUUUGUUUUUUAAUACUCGUUCUCACUUUAAGUCUCACCAGGGAGGGGUUUGGGAAGCACUGCGUGUUUGGGGGACGUUUUGCGCUUCCUGGUCUCUCCAGCCUACAAGUCGGGAGUCGGCGACCGCUUAGUGACGAGCGAUGAUUUUAAAGAGCAGAAUAAAAGGUUUUCCCGUGCCUGCCCCACAGCCCCUCCAGCUCGAAUAAUGGAGAACUGUCAAUGCACUCCGCGAGCGGUGGCCCAUUGUACGCAGCUGAUGGCGAGGAGGCGACUGGGGGUAGCAGGGGCUCCUUGCCCUCGUCCCUAUGCCCAAAUAAACGCGCAAACGCGCUCCCGUCUUCUGGUCAGUUAAAAGGUGAAACGAACACGAUUAAAAUAGACCAAAAGAAAAGAAAGAAAAGAAAACCUUUCUAUGUACAGAUUCUAAAUCGUACUCCCCAUACAGUCAGAGGCAGGGAGUCGAGGGCAGAGGCAGCAGGCGGAGAGAGGGAGAUAGGGCGAGGGAAGGAGAACGCGGAGAGAGACGAAGGGAGUGGGAGACCAGCGACAGCGAGCGCCAGGGCACCGCAGGCACACUGGAUGCCCAGUCCGCCGGCCCAGCCGCCCUCGGACCCUGGACCGUGCGUCGUGGGCACCAGAAACGAGACUCGGCCAAAUCCUGCCUCACCAGCAGGUAGAUGAAACUCAAGAGAAAAGGUGUGGAUAAAUGAAACUAGCCCAUGAUGAACCUGUUUUCUCCGUGACCACAAUAUUAACCAGGAUGAAUGGCGGUGGCAGUGGGCCUGCAUCACAGGUUGCAGCAGAUGUUCUCAAUAUUUCUAUUAAAAUUUCCUUAUUUCCAUAUGCAAGAGGAGCCCCAGAGCUGCAUCCUUAUGGUAGCUACCAUGCCGUGAUGUAAGCUGCCAUUCACUGGGGAGCUUUGGCAAUAGAAUUGGCUAGAUCAGGAAGCCUAUGUCAACUAUGGAACAACAACUUGCAGCUCAUCUCUAUUGAUGAUGGAAUCUCGCUAUGUCACCAGGCUGGAGUGCAGUGGCGCAACCUCGGCUCAGCGCAACAUCCGCCUCCCGGGUUCAAGUGAUUCUCCUACCUCAGCCUCCUGAGUAGCUGGGAUUACAGGAAUCUAAUGACCAUUGAACUGUGGCCAUGACUUCAAUUACAAGUAUUUUCUUCACUAAUGUCAGACUGUGGGCCUUUGUAUAUACACUUUUAACAAACUUUUUGGAAGUGCAAUACAUAUCGCAACAACUUCUCAAUGCUGAAUCAUAGUAUUGGAAGACAUUUUAAGCAACAAUUAAACUCAACUUAUUUACUACCAAUAAUGUACAUAAGUCAGCUGAAGUGAGGAUAACAUGAAUAGCACAAAUACAUUAUGAUUGCUGCCUGGCCAACAGUAAUUAUAAGAAACUGUCAGUUUUGAGAUGUGUCUUGAUUUCAGAGAUGUUAAAAAAGUUUGUAAGUUACCAUUGAUAAAAUAUGAGUUUGCUUCCACAAAUAUUCUUUCUUCUGUCCUUCUGGAACUCAAGAUGGCUGUAGUUAUGCCACAGACAUGACCAAAGAGAGAGCUUUGUCACAGAUGAGCAAAGGUGAAACAGUCGCAAAUGGAAUUCCAAGAAACAUUCUAUCAUCAGGUAUUAUCUACUGCUGUCUGCAGAAUUCAGACAUGGAGGGCUCAAUGGUGUCCCCUGGUCUUUGGAACAUUCUGUAUUUUAAUGAUCAUGAUACACUGCCUCUAGGACUGGGACAGAUAGCCACUGAGUACCUGCUUCAAAUCACCCUGCACGUUUUCUCUUUGGAAAGAUAAGCACUGGAGAACCAUCUCGUUACCUUCAGCAGAAAUGGAAACAAAUCAAGACAUUAAGAAUGCCGCAGUGGACAGCAGUUAUGCAAGGUUCAGCAGAGGAAGUUUUCAAGAUGGUGUGCCUCACUAGCCAGAAAUCAGAAAAGAUCGAAGCUAGCCUUUUCAUCUCAGCUGCUCCUUAAAUCAGUGCAACCCCUCCAAAUUAAUGUGAAUUGAAACUUGCAUUGCUUUUCAACUUAAUUGAAUACUUACUAUAUGUGAACCACUGCACAAAAUAGGGGAAGAAGAUGUGGGAGACAAAGAUGUGGAGCCUGUCUUCAAUAAAUUUACAGUUAGUUUCAGGGUACAUUGUUUUUCUUCUGCU
ensembl:lncRNA NR2F1-AS1 NR2F1 antisense RNA 1